rnacentral:misc_RNA from 1 species
UGAGCGGAGCUCUUCGUCGGAAACAUAGGAGAAGGAAAGAUCCAGAGAAGGGAAGACAGAGGAAACAAAAAAGUCGCCAACGGUACACACGCGGUCACAUUUUGAAUAUAAAUAUUGCAUUCUAUUUUUCUGUGGAAACUUUGUGUUGAUCUUAGGUACUCCAUGGUACCAUCUUUUUUUAUUACUUGUGUGUAAAACUUUAUAUAAUGCAUUGUACCAUCUCUUUAGUCCUGCUGCUGACCACAGUCACCAGCAAUGUCCUUACAUUGGAACCAGAUAUAAAUUACUCAAAACUGGACAAUAUGCUGGACGAUUUCCGCAUAGAACUCAAAAAUUUUAUGCAGAAUACCUUUAACAGACGUUGGCUGUCAGAGACACUACGCGGUUACAGCACCAGUGAGAAGGCAUAUGACAUCGUGCUCAGACUAAAUGCAACAUUGUUUUUGAAGCUGCUGAAGAAAGCUAAUCUUGACAGCAUACUGAAGAACCCUAAUUCCAAAUUUACAAUAUUUGCUCCAACUAAUGAAGGCUUAAUGAAACUACCUGACAAGAUAAAAAAAAAUUCCACACUUAUGAACUCUAUCCUAAGGUUCCAUUUAGUGUCUGAUUAUCGAACGACAUCUAGUUUCAUUAACAACGACUUCAUAAAGACAAUUGCCAAAUAUGGUGUUCCUCCAAAGCGACGCUCUCUAAAUAUCCGUACCAACAUCUACAGCAGAUUAGCUUCAAAAAUCAUCACUGCAUCAGGAUCAAAAAUUCUCAAUAAAGAUAACUCAAAUGGAUUGUCUGUGGUUCAUUUAAUCGAUGGUUUGAUGUUUCCUCUCCCUGUGGAAAAUGCUUAUGAUGAGAUAUUACGGCAACCAAAAUUCAGCAUUUUGCGGCGUCUUGUGUCGAAAUCUUAUCUACUUAUUCGAGUUCUGUCUGAAACUAACCAAAACUUUACCAUCUUUGCACCAACAAAUGAAGCUUUUAACAAUUUACCGGCUGGAACUUUGAAGAAGUUGGAAAACAAUGUUCCUUUAUUAACCCAGACACUUGUCAAGGCCUUUAUAUCUAACAUAUAUUACAAGGCCAGCUUUAUGGAUGGUAUGAAUUUAAUUGGAAUAGCCCAAAAUACCAUACAGCUAACAUUUCAUCGGCAUGAUUUUAUCAUAAGUGAUGGUGAAACUCGAGCAAAGAUCUCUGGCACUGAUUUUUCUGUCCUCAAUGGAGUUAUACACAGCAUCGACAAUAUCUUGUUGAAACGAGACAAUACAGAUGAAAUAAUUGGAUGAAAUAAUUUUGUCGUUAUAACUAUUGCUGCUGCUGCUACUACUACUACUACUACUACUAUUAUUAUUAUUAUUAU